rnacentral:rRNA from 1 species
UACGUAGGGCGCAAGCGUUGUCCGGAAUUAUUGGGCGUAAAGAGCUCGUAGGCGGUCUGUCGCGUCGGAUGUGAAAGCCCGGGGCUUAACCCCGGGUCUGCAUUCGAUACGGGCAGACUAGAGUGUGGUAGGGGAGAUCGGAAUUCCUGGUGUAGCGGUGAAAUGCGCAGAUAUCAGGAGGAACACCGGUGGCGAAGGCGGCGCUCUGGGCCGGAACUGACGCUGAGGAGCGAAAGCGUGGGUAGCAAACAGG